GGAAGGAAAGGAAAGAGAGAGACAGUGGAGAAGAGAGAGAGAGAAAUGGACAGUGGAGAAGAGAGAAAGAGAGAGAGACAGUGGAAAAGAGAGAGAGAAACAAAGACAGUGGAAAAUAGAGAGGGAGACAGAGGCGAUGGAGAGGAGAGAGAGAGAGAGAGACACACACAGACAGAAAGACAGACAUUGGAGAAGGUAGAGAGAUACAGAGUGAAGAAGAGAGAGAAAUGGACAGUGGAGAAGAGAGAGAGAGAGAGAAAUACACAGUGGAGAAGAGAGAGAGAAAUACACAAUGGAGAAGAGAGAGAUAGAGAAAUACACAAUAAAGAAGAGAAAGAUAGGGAAAUAGAAGGAAACGAGAGAGAGACAGAGAGAGAGAGAAAUAUUGGAGAAGUGAGAGAGAGAAAGAGACAUUGGAGAUGAGAGAGAGACACAUACAUUGGAAAAGAGAGAGAGAGAGAAAUACACAGUGGAUUAGAGAAAGAUAGAGAUAGUAGAAAAGACAGACAGAAAGAAAUAGACAAUGGAGAAGAGAGAGAGAGAAAAAUAGCAGAGAAGAGAGAGAGAGAGAGAGAGAGAGAGAGAGAGAGAGAGAGAAAAUAGACAGCAGAGAAGAGAGAGAGAGAGAGAAAUAGACGGCAGGGGAAGAGAGAGAGAGAAAGAGAGAGAGAGAGAGAAAUAGACAGUUGAGAAGAGAGAGAGAGAUAUAUAAAUAGACAGUUGGGAAGAGAAACACAGAAAUAGAAAGUGGAGAAGAGACAGAGAGAGAGAGAGAGAGAGAGAGAGAGAGAGAGAGAGAAAGGGAAAUAGACAAUGGAAAAGAGAGAGAGAGACACAGACAGUGGGCAAGACAGAGAGAGAAAGAGUGGACAAGAGAGAGAGAGAAAUAGUGCAGAAGAGAGAAAGAGAAAUACACAGUGGAGAAGACAGAGAGAGACACAGAGAGUGGAGAAGAGAGAGAGAGAAAUAGACAGUUGUGAAGCAAGAGAGGGAGAGAAAUAGACAGUGGAGAAGAAAGAGAGAGAGAAAUACACAGUGAAGAUAGAUAGAGAAAUACACAAAUAAGAAGAGAGAGAUACAUACAUUGGAGAUGAGAGAGAGAUACAUACAUUGGAGAAGAGAGAGAGAAAUACACAGUUGAGUAGAGAGAGAGAGACAGAGAUAGUAGAGAAGAGAGAGAAAUAGACAGUGGAGAAGAGAGAGGGAGAGAGAGAGAGAAAUAUACAGUUGAGAAGUGAGAGAGAAAGAAAUAGUUGAAAAAAGAGAGAAAUAGUGGAGAAGAGACACAGAUGGGGGAAUAGACAAUGGAAAACAGAUAGAGAGACACAGACAGUGGAUAAGAGAGAGAGAGACACUGACAGUGGAUAAGAGAAGAGAAACACAGACAGUGGAAAAGACAGAGAGAGACACAGACAGUGGGCAAGCAGAGAGAAAUAGUGGACAAGAGAGAAAGAGAAAUAGACAGUGGAGAAGGGACAGAGAGAAGUACACAAUGGAGAACACAGAGAGAGACAUAGAGAGUAGAGAAGAGAGAGAGAGAAAUAGACAGUUGUGAAGCGAGAGAGGGAGAGAAAUAGACAUUGGAGAAGAAAGAGAGAGAGAAAUACAAAGUGGAGAAGAGAGAUGGAGAAAUACACAAAUAAGAGCGAUAGGGAAAUAGACAGGAAAGAAGAGAGAGACAGAGAAAUAUUUGAAAAGUGAGAGAGAGAGAGAGAAAGAGACAUUGGAGAUGAGAGAGAGGUACAUACAUUGGAGAAGAGAGAGAGAGAAAUACACAGUGGUGUAGAGAGAGAGAGACAGAGACAGUAGAGAAGAGAGAGAGAGAGAGAGAAAUAGACAAUGGAGAAGAGAGAGAGAGAAAUAGACAGUUGAGAAGAGAGAGAGAGAGAAAUUGACAGAGGAGAAGAAGGAGAAAGACACAGACAGUGGAAAAAAGAGAGAAAUAAAGAGACAGUGGAGAAGAGAGAGAGAGAAUAAGAGACAGUGGAGAAGAAUGAGAGAGAGAGAGAGAGACAGAGACAUUGGAGAAGAGACAAGAGAAAAAUAAAUAGUGGAGAAGAGAGAGAGAAAUAAAUAGUGGAGAAGACAGAGAGAGACACAGACAGUUGAGAAGAGAAAGAGACACACAGACAGUGGGAAAGAGAGAGAGAGAGAGAAAUAGUCCGUGGAAGAGUGAGAAAGGGAGAAAUAGACAGUGGAGGAGAGAGACAGAGACAGAGAGAGAGAGAGAGAGAGAGAGUGAGUGUGUGUGUGUGUGUCAGUCACAGACAGUGGAAAAGACAGAGAGAGACACAGACAGUGGGCAAGAGAGAGAGAGAAAUAGUGGACAGCAGAGAGAGAGAAACGGACAGUGGAGAAGACAGAGAGAAAUAGACAGUGGAGAAGGGAGAGAGAGAAAUACACAGUGGAGAAGACAGAGAGAGACACAUAGUCGAGAAGAGAAAGAGAGACACAGACAGUGGGAAAGAGAGAGAAAAAAGACCGUGGAAAAGAGAGAGAGAGAAAAGACAGUGGAGGGAGAGAGGGGGGGGGAGAAAACAGAGAGAGACAGACAGUGGAGGAGAGAGAGAGAGAGAGAGUGUGUGAGAGAGUGGGUGUGUGUGUGUGUGUGUGUGUGUGUGUGUCAGUCACAGACAGUGGUAAAGAUAGAGAGAAACACAGAAAGUGGGAAAGACAAAGAGAGAGAAAUAGACAGUGGAGAAGAAAAAGAAAGAGAUAUACAGUGAAGAAGAGACAGAGAGAAAUAGACAGUGGAGAAGAGAGAGAGAAAUAGACAGUACAGAAGAAAGAGAAAUAAACAGUGGAGAAGGGAGAGAGAGAAAGAAAAAGUGGAGAAGAAAGAGAGAGAAAUAGACAGUCGAGAAGUCAGAGAGAAACACAGUUGAGAAGAGAGAGAGAGAGACAAAGACAGUGUAAAAGAUAGAGCGAGUCACACACAGUGGAAAAGAUAGAGAGACAUAUCGACAGUGGAAAAGACUGAGAGACAGAGACAGUGAGAGAGAGAAGUAGAUAGUGGAGAAAAGAGAGAAAAAGAAAUAGACAGUGGAGAAGAAAGGGAGAGAGAGCAAAAUAUUGGAGAAGAGAGGGAGAAAUAGAGAGUGGAAAAGAGAAACACAUACAGUGGAGAAGAGAUAGAGAGAGAGCUAGACAGCUGAGAAGACCGAGAGUCGCAGAAAGUGUAAAAGAGAGAGAGAGAGAGACAGAAAGGGGGAAAGACAGAGAGACACAGGCAGUGGACGAGAGAGAGAGAGAAACAGAGUGUAGAGAAGAGAGAGAAAGAAACAGUAGAGAAGAGAGAGAGAGAAACAGAGAGUAGAGAAGAGAGAGAGAGAGAAAUAGACACUGGAGAAGAGAAAGAAAAUUAGGGGAGAAGAGAGGGGAGAGAGAGAGGAAAAGUGAGAGAGAGAGACAGUGGAGAAGAGAGAGAGAAAUGGACAGUGGAGAAGAGAGAAAGAGAGAGAGACAGUGGAAAAGAGAGAGAGAAACAAAGACAGUGGGAAAUAGAGAGGGAGACAGGCGAUGGAGAGGAGAGAGAGAGAGAGAAAGACAGACACAGACAGAAAGACAGACAUUGGAGAAGGUAGAGAGAUACAGAGUGAAGAAGAGAGAGAGAAAUGGACAGUGGAGAAGAGAGAGAGAGAGAAAUAGACAGUGGAGAAGAGAGAGAAAGGAAUAGACAUUGGAGAAGAGAGAAAGAUACAGAAUGAAGAAGAAAGAGAGAGAGAAACAGGAAAUGACAGAGAGACACACACAGACAGUGAGAAAGAGAGAGAGAGACACAGGCAGUAAAGAACAAAUAGAGAGAAAAGAAUAGGAAAAAAGCAUAGAGGUGGAGAAGAGAGAGAGAGAGAGAA
rnacentral:lncRNA from 1 species